rfam:Thermincola sp. JR, complete genome.
GGGGGUGUAAUGGUUUCGACGGGGGAUGAAUGGGCACAGGUAGCGAGCCGGGGUUCCAUCAGCCCGUAAUACGGUGGACUUAAAAUUAAACGCAGAAGAAAAUUACGCUUUAGCUGCCUAAUGCAGCUAACCUCUAACCCUCUGUGCUCUGGGUGAGGGAUUGGGGGUCAACCUACAGAGCUGGCUUAACUCCAAUUCUCGGAGGGGUUAGGCGAGAUUUAUCGAGAUAGUUUCACAGGAGCCUGCCGGUGGGCGCCUGGGGAGCGAAAUUAAAUCACCAGGCUGCGCUCGGAGAAGCUUGUGUGGGUUCUCUUCCGGACAGGGGUUCGACUCCCCUCACCUCCACCA